CCCGCUUCUCUCUCUUCCACUUUGGUGAAACCCUAGCACCACGUUGAGAUUUCAUCAUCUCUCUCCGCCAAAAAUGGCAAGGUUACUGAGCAUAGCUGACAAAUAUUGCUAUUACAUGCUUGUUAUGGUAAAAGCAUUAAAUGUUCCACCUGAUUUCGUGAUCUUUUACCCAAACACGGUAAUGAAUCUUUGUUUUUUUACUCAUUUUCCAGAUUUUUCAGUCGAACUCAUGCUUUUAUUUUGCUUUUAGGUUAUACAUUUAUUAUUCUUUGCAAUUUCCUAUUAGUUCAUGGUUGGUGGUUCAGAUCGACCCAAGAAGGGUUAGAUCUGACCGCAUGUGUGUUAUACCUUUAGAUCUGGGUCGUUGACUUCAUUUACUGAGUGUUUGAUUUUGGAAAAGGAUUUGUCCCACAUCGUUCAUUGUUAGUCUUGGUUGAAUUUUUGGGGUUCUAUAAAUAGAACCCCACUCUCACAAAAAUAGUGGUCGGACAACAAGGAGAAAAAAUAGUGAGAUAGAAAAAAAUAGAAAGUUGAAGAAGCUGGAAAAUUUUGAUAUUUUCAAAAGCUUCUUAGUAAAAUUUUUUUUACCUUAACUGAAAAUAGUUGGGGUUUUCUCAGUUCUAAAAUAUUUUCCUGCUUUAUUUUUCACGUGGCUGAGUUGUUGAGGUUGGAAGCAAAAAGCUCCCAAAUCCAUUCUUUUCUUGGUUGCGCACAUAAAAGAUUUUGGCGGAUUUGCAACUUGAAUUUGGAAUAGCAUAAGGAGCGGAAAAAGGUCAGCAGGUAGACAGAUUUGACUCCUAGAAGCUCCAUCAGCAGUACUGUGUCAGCGCUCCAGUUGUUCCAGAGCCUCAGCUUCUUGGUACAUAUUCGAGCGCGGUACAGACGCUCCUUUUGAUACGCCACCAGCUUAGGACACCUGUUCCGCUACUUGGGAGUGCUCCUGUUGAUUCGGAGCUUAUAUUUUGGUAUAUAUCUUCUGUUGUUUUCAUCUUCUGUACAUAUGGUCAUUUGGGGUACGGCGGGGCCCUGUCCCGUCAUAUGAUUCUGUUAUGUCUGUUAGAGGCCUGUAGACAUGUUUGUGGGUUGUGGAUUGCCACAGUUCUGGUAGGUAUGUGUGAGACUGCGAUUUAAGUGACCCGGCUUGCUAUGAUCGCAUUAACGGCCUAUGUAUAAGUCUGUGUAUGUAUGUAUU